CAGCCGCCGCGGUAAUACGAAGGGUGCAAGCGUUACUCGGAAUUACUGGGCGUAAAGCGCACGUAGGUGGAUAUUUAAGUCAGGGGUGAAGUCCCGCAGCUCAACUGCGGAACUGCCUUUGAUACUGGGUAUCUUGAGUAUGGAAGAGGUUAGUGGAAUUGCGAGUGUAGAGGUGAAAUUCGUAGAUAUUCGCAGGAACACCAGUGGCGAAGGCGGCUAACUGGUCCAUAACUGACACUGAGGCACGAAAGCGUGGGGAGCAAACAGGAUUAGAUACCCCAGUAGUCCCUGUCUCUUAUAC
rnacentral:rRNA from 1 species